rnacentral:rRNA from 1 species
AACGAACGCUGGCGGCGCGCCUAAUACAUGCAAGUCGAGCGAGAAGACGUAGCAAUACGUUUGUAAAGCGGCGAACGGGUGAGGAAUACAUGGGUAACCUACCCUCGAGUGGGGAAUAACUAGCCGAAAGGUUAGCUAAUACCGCGUACGCUCCUUGGACUUCGGUUCAGGGAGGAAAGCGAUACCGUGGGUAUCGCGCUCUUGGAU